GAUUCCUUUCACCUUCACUCCUCGGCUUCCUGCAGACGAUCUUCACCAUCAGAAGGUGGAGGCUCUGCUAUGAAUCAGUGUGAGGACGGAGAGGAGGGAGCCCCUCCCUCUAAAAGCACUCUGUGUGAGGAACAUGAAGCUCAGAGGCCAAAGCAGCAGCAUGUACCAGACUCUCCUGGACCAGGACCAGGACCUGGACCUAGUUGUUUGUCCUUAAAGAGUGAUCGGUCUAAGGGUGGAUGGAUGGUCUUCA